CGCACAUUGGUUGCCUUCUGACUGCUAAUUGUCUCCAUGAACUGGAGGGCUGAUGCAUCCAUCUACUAACAUGUUGCUGCAAGUAUGAUUCUCCUUCCUCGGUAAUCACCUCACCGCCCCAACCAUAUGAAGCAAACUGACUAGUAAAAUCUUCAGCAUCUAGUUGCUUCCUCCUACCACAAAAUGAUUAAGCAAGACUUAGACUGAAACAGAGAACUAGGCAAAUGAAGGUUAUAGAACUUGUUCAUAACAGAAGAGAUUGCAUGGAGACUAUGAAUUCCUAACCGUAUGAAUUCUUGGCAAGUAUUAGUUUUCAAACAACACAAGAGGUGGUUUCAACAUCCAUUUGCAGAUUACCUGAUGCUGGAACUGAGAGACGCAACGAUGCUCAUUCAAUGCUACAAGCUCGCUCCGCCUUUCCUGCUCCAUUCUUGCAACAAAAUCUUCAAUGGAUCGCUGAUCACUUGAUGUCUUAUCUGCCA